AAAAAGAAAAAAAGGAAGAAAAGAAAUGAAAUGAAAAAAACGAUACAAGAUAAAAUUCUUUUGGCGUAAGAAUUAAUUUAUGGCAUAAUUUUCGAAAAUAAAUAUAAAUCUUACGAUGUUUCGAAUUAGUAAGACUUAGAAGCAUAGCACGCUAAGUCUAUUUCUAAGAGAUAGUACACUGUACUGCAGUUUGUCGUCUCGAUCGAGUAUUCGUGGACAGAGAGAGAGAGAGAGAGAGAGAGAGAGAGAGAGAGAGAGAGAGAGAGAGAGAGAGAGAGAGAGCGAGAGAGAGAGAGAAAGAGAUUGAUAGAGCAUAUGUCGAUGAGAGAGAAGACCGACUCAAAGUUUAUCGAGCUAUCCGUUAACAGAGUGUCAACGUUUCCGAACGUCACGUAGAAUGUUCAGAAUCGUUUCCCGUUUUCGGUUUCGUGUCUCGACGCUCACGUUUUCCGCUCGCAUUCCGAGUUUAUUUCCCCGUAAGAAAAGAAGAGAAAAGAGAGAAAAAAGAAAAGAAAAAGAAUGAACAAGAAAAAAGUAAAAGAGAAAAUGUAAAUCGUUAGAUAUGACGAUAAAAUAGACAAAUUAAUUCGAUCAAAGCGAUUACGAGGUCAAUCGAAACGAUAAGUAAAAAGGAGAAAAAGAAAAAUUGCAUCCUUUUCUUUAAAGGUCCCUACGUGAGAGAGAAUCCCUUUACUUUUGCGACAAAUCAAGGAUAUUUCUUGUUCGCGUUUCUUCGACGUACGACGUCGAAAGAAAAGAAAAGAAAAACGAAAUGGAAGAAAGAAAAAAAGAAGCAUUCGAAUGAAAGAACGAAAAAAAUAUUUACAGGUUCUCGAUGAGGAUUUACAUAAUGAAAGAAAAAGAGAGUUCGAUAUCCGAAUAGGAAGUGAAAUCUUUCUCAGGAAUGUAACACAAAGAUUACUACUAUCCUAUGUAUGUAGUCUUACAAGUAAGCAUUGGUAGAGAAGAAAACCGAUUGAGAGGAACGAAAGGAAACACGAAAGGAGAAAAAAAAAAGUCGAGGUUAAUCCUUUACUUCGAGGAACAGAAGGAGAUCGGCUGUUUGCAGACCUCGCAAGGCUUAAGGAAUUGCAAUGGCGGGUUAGGGAGCUUGGCUUGAGAGUCUGAGAGCAGCACCAGCACCAGUAACCAGUAACCAGUACCAGUACCAGCAUCACCAUCACCAUCAGCACCAGUAGCAACAGCACCAAGCAAAGGAGGAGGGUGCGGCUGCCUCGAGCAUGAUCCCCUAAGCCAAGGCUAAGAGGCUAUUAGUUAGCUCUGCUAGCUGCGACAUAACCCCUAAGACUAACACAGUACUUACACUUCCUCCUUCUCUUGGAAUAUCCAACAAACCAUCGUUCCCCGAUGUUUGCUCCCGUAUGACGAAUUUCUGGAUCGACCUUACGUUAAAUCUCGACUAUCAUGAUAAUGAUAAUGAUUAUGAUCAUGAUCAUGAGAUCAUGAUAGAUGAUCAUUUUAAGGGAUCAAAAUAGUUAUAUAUCAUCUUAUAUGUUAUCACGAAGAAUACCAAAUGGAUCUUUUUUAUUUUAAAUAAGUAUGAUUAAAAAUAAAUCUGUAAUCAUGAUCAUGAUAAUGAUGAUAACGACGACGAUGGCUAUGACGAUGAUCAUUGUUUAUAACAAAUCGUCAAUUAAUUAUUAAGUAUGUGCAAAUAGUAAAUCUGGCUGUUAAUGAUGAUCUGACUGUUUAAAAUUGUUUGUUAAAUAGAAAAAUUAUUUGUUUAUUAAUUAUCGAUUAAUUUGCGUUAUUUCAUAAGUGUCAGUCGCAAUCUGAAUUGAUCUUUUUUCUUUUUUUUUUUUUUUUUUUUUUUUUUUGCAAAAUAGGAUGAAUCCGAUCGGUAGUAAGAAUUUAUUCAUAAAAAUUGUUUAUAAACGAAUUGUUAAGUAAUUAUUAACAAUGCGUUGAAACAUUGUAUCUUUAGACAAAACAAAAAAAAGAAAAAAAGGAUAGAAAUAUAAAAGAUUGACCAAUGAAUUUAUCGUUUCAAUCAUUUCAUAAAAUUCUACAAAUCAAUGUAAAAUUGUCAAUAAAUUCAUAAUCAUUUUUAAUCAUUUAUCGUAAUUAUUAAAUUAAUUAAAAGCGUAUAUAGAAAACUAAAUGUUUCUAAAUCAAUUAUUUCUAUAUCAACGUCAGAUCGUAUUUUCCAUAAUCCAACGAAUAUGUUAUUUUCUCUAACGUUAAUUUUGUAUAACCAUAGAGAUUUAAUUAAUAAUACGUUCUAACAAUAAUUCUAAUUAUUUAUUUGAACGUAUUUAAAAUCGAUAAUCGACAUAAUCCAAUACAUCUCCAAUGGUAAAAUUUUCUAUAAAUUAUCGAUAUAGAAUCGUAUACGUGAGAAAUUUUAUAACGAUUAUCGAUAAAUUCGUUAAUAAAUCAAUUUAAAAUUAAUUCGUACGAAUGUUUCAACGUGAUGUCCGUAUAAUUAAGUAAUUUUCUAAUCGAUAACUAUGACCUACGUAUUAUUAAUUAAUUUAAUAAACAAUGUAAUUAUUUCAAAAAAAAAAAAAAAAAAA